UCACUGCCGUCUUUUAGAUUCCUCUGCUGACAGUGAAGAGGUCACGCUAAAUCAAACUGACAGAGAAACUGGACAUCAACUUUACCCAGGACGCCCAAAUUAAUUCCACCGAAACAAAAGGGUCAACCUCACUUUGGCUGGCUUGUCUUCUUGAUUUCUUCAUUGGUGGUGCUAAAGAGAGUUGAUGAGACAGGAAGAAAGCAGCAGGGAUUGCUGAGUCUGAACAUCACUUCUGCUAAGCUUGGAGCAGCACUGAAGCUAUUUUAAACAAGGUACUCCACAGUCAUUCAGGUCCAGGUAUUUGUCUGUGACAGUCACUACGUGCUGCUGUUAUCAAUGGCCUUGUGAGAGAUUUCUGAAUACCACUGAGUACACCGCUUGGAGCUGUAUAAUUUCCAUGCACUGCUCAUUUCAGUGAAGAAUUAUAAAGUUUGCGUCUGGUUACAAAGGAAAUGGGUAAGAAAGAUGCAUAUGAAAGAAAGCCAUAGACAAGGUUAACGAGGCAUUCUAAGAACUCAUUCAUACAGAAACCAAAAUGAGAAACUUUCUGAGAAUAG
rnacentral:lncRNA from 1 species